CAAAGGUUUGGUCCCAGCCUUCCUAUUAGCUCCCAACAGAUUUACACAUGCAAGCAUCUACAUCCCAGUGAAAAUGCCCUCCAAGUCACAAAGAUCAAAAGGAGCUGGUAUCAAGCACGCUUCACUAGCAGCUCACAACACCUUGCUUAGCCACACCCCCACGGGACACAGCAGUGAUAAAAAUUAAGCCAUGAACGAAAGUUUGACUAAGUCAUGUUGAUUAGGGUUGGUAAAUUUCGUGCCAGCCACCGCGGUCAUACGAUUGACCCAAGCUAAUAGGCAUACGGCGUAAGGAGUGUUAAAGAGUUAUACAAAAUAAAGUCAAGCCUUGACUAAACCGUAAAAAGCCAUAGUUAAAAUUAAGCUAAACCACGAAAGUGACUUUAAUACAAUCUACUGCACGACAACUAAGACCCAAACUGGGAUUAGAUACCCCACUAUGCUUAGCCGUAAACCCAGGUAGUCAUAAAACAAGACUAUUCGCCAGAGUACUACUAGCAACAGCCUAAAACUCAAAGGACUUGGCGGUGCUUCAUACCCCCCUAGAGGAGCCUGUUCUAUAACCGAUAAACCCCGAUCAACCUCACCAACCCUUGCUACUUCAGUCUAUAUACCGCCAUCUUCAGCAAACCCUAAAAAGGAAUGAAAGUAAGCAUAACUAUCCUACGUAAAAACGUUAGGUCAAGGUGUAACCCAUGGGAUGGGAAGAAAUGGGCUACAUUUUCUACACCAUAGAACACCCUAUACCCCACGAAAGUUUUUAUGAAACCUAAAAACCAAAGGAGGAUUUAGCAGUAAAUUAAGAACAGAGUGCUUAAUUGAACAAGGCCAUGAAGCACGCACACACCGCCCGUCACCCUCCUCAAGUAUCACAGCGAAGCCCCAAUCCACUAAUUUAUGCCGAGCGCCCCCACAAGAGGAGACAAGUCGUAACAAGGUAAGCAUACUGGAAGGUGUGCUUGGAUAAAA
rnacentral:ncRNA from 1 species